rnacentral:hammerhead_ribozyme from 1 species
AUCUUGCUGACGAGUCCCAAAUAGGACGAAUCGGCGAGCGUCCUUGAU